CGGUGCAGAAACAACCAUGGAAAACAUUAUAUGGAGAAUAUCUCAUUGCAUACGAGUAUUUCGCUGAAAAAGAAAAUUCUGUGAAAUCAACAUUUUGGGCUACAUAGUCGUUGUUAAAGUCAACUCUGUUAAUAUAAAACAGCAUAGAUAUAAUCUAAGUACACCAAGUUCUCAAGCAAAAAAUAUAGGUUAUGUUUCCCAGAAAUCAAAUAUAGUUACAAGAGAAAACUUACGAAAAUUUUUAACAGAGGCCCGUGAUUAAUGUACCUAAUGUCAAAGGUAUAUUUUUUAUUCGAAGUUGUAGGAGUAUGCGGAAUGGAAGAAUUUGAACAAUUUUCUUGUAUCUACAUAACCUAUAAUAAGCUUUUAUUAUUAUUACAGAACAGAUUAUUAGCUUACAUGCCCAUUUUAAAUGAAAAAAGAUCUGCAGCAAUUGCAAAAUAGAGAUGGAUAGCUAUAAUAACAAGAAGUUUACAUGCAUUCAACCGA